CGGAAGAUCUGAACGAACAUUCUGGCAGAAAAUUCGUGGCAAAAACCACAAAACGACAUAAAAACGUACCACGGCAAAAUCAUGUAUAUAGGUACACGCAUAUUAUUCGCUCGGAAUCUAACAGUACGCCGGAUAGUUAUGUGAAGUACACAUGCAUUUGUUGUGCCUGUCUCCGACAAACGUACAGUAUAAUUAACACACGCUUACGCAGACCACACAGAACUCGCUCAAUUUCGGUUUUAGAGGAAACACUUGUUAUAAAAUCAAAAGACGACAAUAUUCCGGAGGACGAGACGUUACGUUUUUUUUCCGUUUUCUCCGAGUAUAACAGUCAAUUUACCGUUUAUGUAUAACGACUUUUCAACGGUUUUUUAAUUCGUCGAAACUAAGCGUGUUCUGUGUAUUUCGCUGCUUGAACACGUUUUCACUGUAUCUCGUUUUUGUAAGACAUAAACGACAUAUGCGCGCGCAA